rnacentral:rRNA from 1 species
UACGUAGGGGGCGAGCGUUGUCCGGAAUGAUUGGGCGUAAAGGGCGCGUAGGCGGCCUUAUAAGUCUGGAGUGAAAGUCCUGGCUUCAAGUUGGGAAUUGCUUUGGAUACUGUAGGGCUUGAGUGCAGGAGAGGUAAGUGGAAUUCCCAGUGUAGCGGUGAAAUGCGUAGAGAUUGGGAGGGACACCAGUGGCGAAGGCGACUUACUGGACUGUAACUGACGCUGAGGCGAGAAAGUGUGGGGAGCAAAC